CUGCCUCAGAUCAAUUAACAGUUUUCGCCAUAAGAGAGUCUUCGGGGAUGUCCUUUCAGAGACCGAAAGCCAAACUGCACAACAUUCUCUAGCAGUGCUCCUUUAUUUGCAAUCCUGCUCCGGGAUUGUUAUGUUGGAUAAAGAGGGGUUGAUACUUGUAAUGCAUCCAGAGAAGUUAGAUUCAUCGUAGAGGUUUUCUGUUUUCUUUACGUUGAUUUGCUGAAAGGUAAUAGCUUUGCUCCUCUUUCCACAGCAUCUCUCCAUAGCCUAUACCUUACUCCUAGCUUAUCAUAAGAAACUGGUGAAUUCCAUACAUUAGCCCCAUUGAUCAUUCGCUCCUGCUGCCCAACUACAAGCCGCAGAAUCCUCAUUUAAUACCUGUUCAGCAAAAUGUCUCCACAGAUAGUGCAUGAAAGGAAUGUGCUUUAGCAUGGGAGCAAAAUCAAGAGACAUUCUGUAUAAUAACCUAGUCUUUUGUCUUGAUGAAGGCAAGCAUACGUGAAGUUGAUGGAGGUGAGUUGCACAUUGUCUAGUAUUUUUCCCCUCUAGUUUUCCAGGCUUUGAGAUUCCAAUGGUUGAUAAAACCAUACAAGGUGGUCGGAAUUCCAUAUC
rnacentral:misc_RNA from 1 species